GGGCGAUUAGCUCAGCGGUAGAGCGAAGCAUUCACACUGCUUAGGUCGGGGGUUCGACACCCUCAUCGCCCACCA
rnacentral:tRNA from 1 species